GUGGUCACUUCAGCAGCACAUAUACUAAAAUUGGAACAAUACAGAGAUUAGCAUGACUCCUGCACAAGGGUGAUAUGCAAAUUUCUGAAGCGUUCCAGAGAGAU